rnacentral:rRNA from 1 species
CGAGGGGGGCGAGCGUUGUUCGAAAUUAUUGGGCGUAAAGGGUGCGUAGGCGGUUUGGUAAGUCUGAUGUGAAAUCUAUGGGCUCAACUCAUAGUCUGCAUCGGAAACUGCCGGGCUUGAGUGUGGGAGAGGUGAGUGGAAUUCCUGGUGUAGCGGUGAAAUGCGUAGAUAUCAGGAGGAACACCUGUGGCGAAAGCGGCUCACUGGACCAUAACUGACGCUGAUGCACGAAAGCUAGGGGAGCAAACAGGAUUAGAUACCCUGGUAGUCCUAGCCCUAAACGAUGACUGCUUGGUGUGACGGGUACCCAAUCCCGCCGUGCCGUAGCUAACGCGUUAAGCAGUCCGCCUGGGGAGUACGGUCGCAAGGCUG